UAACUGAUCUACGACGUGAUUGACAGGGGCGGUGAUUCUUCAAUCCAGCCUCUGAAACUGCCCACAUGUUCCCACCGCAAAUCGGGGCCCUUGAUGAUGAAGCUCGGAGGCGGUUCCCAGGGAGAAUUGCUGAGUUAAAGCUCUGCCCGCGUCAAUGCAAUGUAUUAGCAGCUUUAAAAUGAAAUCUCAGAUCUCAUUGCGUGCAAGAAAAUUUUGUAGUUCUAUGUAACAAAGUGGUCAACUGUCAAUAGUUCGAAUCACGUCUCAGCCGGAAAAUCUCAAAUCACUUGCCUCCGCAGUGGCUGGUGAUAAUUGAAACGUAAUUGAUGGAGUUUGUGCAGGUUUAGUACUUAAGUCUGCGAUGGAAUUCGAAACCCUGGAGUUGUGAUGUGCAACACCCGACGAAGAUUCAUAUAGCUGCAGUCUCCGAUUCUCGUCUGGCAAGACCUGGAGACAAUGUAGAGGAGCUCUGGUGUCAUCUCCACAUACGAGAAGGGAAGUUUCCUGCACAUGACGAGGAUGAGAUCUUUUAGCAGUUGGUGAGCAUGUUUUUCGUUAUUUUGCUUCUUUGUCAUGUUCUUUAUGGCUUUCUUUGCAUGAUGAACCUGGAACUGUAAUAGGAAAUGGCUUGUUCCCUGAGGAUGCUUCAAUCAAGCUGCAAGAUAGGAUUGCGGUUUAAUCGCGACAUACUGUUGCAGCCAGGCGGCCUCCGUUCAAAGAUAUACAGGCUUCUUGACUAUUGCUAAAUUCAGUUCAUGAUUCAUGUUAAAAACAAUGAAAUAAAAUACGAAAUCAUGAUGUACAGGCUCAAUCAGUCGCAGCCUACUUCCGGAACUUGUAAGCCAGACAUCUUUUAGUGUAAUGCUGUUGCAUCUGCGAAGGCUCAAAUCCUCGCAUUGCUCAAAUCUUCCUUACAAUUUCAUCACCGAAGGCCACAACACUUGAACGAAAGCUGAGCUGCAUAAAUGAAUCGGAGGAACAACGCCAUCUCAAACACCAUUUUCAUUUUAAAGUAAAGUUUGACUUUUUUGAAGCAUGCUUGAACGAGGAUAUGGAGGGAACAAUAUUCAGAGAAUGUUGUAAGGAAGGUAGCAAAGACGUGAGUCAAAUUACUGGAAAAUACAACUUCUUUAACAAUUUAAUGUAAGUAUUCUUUCAUAGUUUAAUAUGCUUGUUCAUUUA